UACAGGGAGGUAGUGACAAUAAAUAACAAUGCUCUGGCUCUUUGAGUCGGGCAAUUGGAAUGAGAACAAUUUAAAUCCCUUAACGAGGAUCAAUUGGAGGGCAAGUCUGGUGCCAGCAGCCGCGGUAAUUCCAGCUCCAAUAGCGUAUAUUAAAGUUGUUGCAGUUAAAAAGCUCGUAGUUGGAUUUCUGAUUCGAACGUCCGGUCCGCUUCCUUUGGGAGUGUGUACUUAUGGAUGUUCGAGGCAUUUUUUGUGAGUCUGCCUUUCUGCCAUUAAGUUGGUGGGUUGGUGGGUUUGCAUCGUUUACUGUGAAAAAAUUAGAGUGUUUAAAGCAGGCGUUUGCUCAUUUGAAUACAUUAGCAUGGAAUAAUAAGAUACGGCCUUGGUGGUCUAUUUUGUUGGUUUGCACACCAGGGUA
rnacentral:ncRNA from 1 species